GUAUUUGAUUGCGUUUUAAGGCAACAUGAACAUUCUAUGACACAUUCAGAGUAUAUGAUACAUAAGCCCGAAGGCCUACGGUGGGUUCACAGGUGUGUUGUGGAUUUAAGAGCUCAGGCGUGCACGUGCCUCGAAAGAGGCCAGCAACAACCCUCGCUUAUAAUUCGAUAAUGAUCCUUCCGCAGGUUCACCUACGGAAA
rnacentral:misc_RNA from 1 species